GCGACCCCAGGUUAGGUGGGGCUACCUGCUAAA
rnacentral:rRNA from 1 species